rnacentral:tRNA from 1 species
UUCUUCACCCCAUCUGCAAAAAACCCUCAUUGUGAACGAUCUCAAGUGUGACUGUCUUCAUCCAGCCUUGGAACCACCGUCUCUGAAACCCAAUAUAUCAAAUGGAGACACAUAAGUUGAGUCGCAAGCAGGUGGACCUCACUGUGUUUGAUAAAAGCAUCAUGGCAUAAAGAUGUUUCUGCCCAGUUUCGAGCUGGGGACCUUUCGCGUGUGAAGCGAACGUGAUAACCACUACACUACAGAAACCUCCGUGGCACAAGACACUUCUGCUGACCCAUUAAUACACGUUGGGUCCCAUUCCUUUUUUCCCAUUGGAGGAGUCCUUUGUGAAAAAUGAGGAAUAGCUUACUGUCCCAAAUCUCUCAAAAAGAGAAGCAACAACCUGCAUAGGAUACCUCGG